UAUUUGUAUCUCCACCUACACACGGCAGGCCAGAAUUAAAUUUAUUUACCCUACUUAAUUAUGUUCUGCCAUUGAGGAAUCCAUGAGAUUUGAGAGUCAG
rnacentral:sRNA from 1 species